rnacentral:rRNA from 1 species
GACGAACGCUGGCGGCGUGCUUAACACAUGCAAGUCGAACGGUGAAGUAGAGCUUGCUCUAUGGAUCAGUGGCGAACGGGUGAGUAACACGUGGGCAACCUGCCCCAGACUCUGGGAUAACUCCUCGAAAGAGGGGCUAAUACCGGAUAUUUGCAUUGCAAGACAUCUUGUGAUGCAGUAAGAAUUUCGGUCUGGGAUGGGCCCGCGGCCUAUCAGCUUGUUGGUGAGGUAACGGCUCACCAAGGCGACGACGGGUAGCCGGCCUGAGAGGGCGACCGGCCACACUGGGAAUGAGACACGGCCCAGACUCCUACGUGAGGCAGCAGUGGGGAAUAUUGGGCAAUGGGCGCAAGCCUGACCCAGCAACGCCGCGUGAGGGAUGAAGGUCCUCGGAUUGUAAACCUCUUUCAGCAGGGACGAAGCGAAAGUGACGGUACCUGCAGAAGAAGCACCGGCUAACUACGUGCCAGCCGCCGCAGUAA